rnacentral:rRNA from 1 species
UCAGAACGUACGCUGGCGGCACGCCUUAUACAUGCAAGUCGAACGAAGUAGCAAUACUUAGUGGCAGACGGGUGAGUAACAUGUAGGUAUCUGCCCUUUGGCCUGGAAUAACACGAGGAAACUUGUGCUAAUACCGGAUAAGUCUUUACGGAGAAAGCUUUAUGCACCAUUGGAUGAGCCUGCACUUGAUUAGUUUGUUGGUGGGGUAAUGGCCUACCAAGACUAUGAUCAAUAGCUGAUUUGAGAGGAUGAUCAGCCACAUUGGAACUGAGACACGGUCCAAACUCCUACGGGAGGCAGCAGUAAGGAAUCUUGCACAAUGGAGGAAACUCUGAUGCAGCGAUGCCGCGUGAGUGAAGAAGGCCUUUGGGUUGUAAAGCUCUUUCGUCGGGGAAGAAAAUGACUGUACCCGAAUAAGAAGGUCCGGCUAACUUCGUGCCAGCAGCCGCGGUAAUACGAAGGGACCUAGCGUAGUUCGGAAUUACUGGGCUUAAAGAGUUCGUAGGUGGUUAAAAAAGUUGGUGGUGAAAUCCCAGAGCUUAACUCUGGAACUGCCAUCAAAACUUUUUAGCUAGAGUAUGAUAGAGGAAAGCAGAAUUUCUAGUGUAGAGGUGAAAUUCGUAGAUAUUAGAAAGAAUACCGAUUGCGAAGGCAGCUUUCUGGAUCAUUACUGACACUGAGGAACGAAAGCAUGGGUAGCGAAGAGGAUUAGAUACCCUCGUAGUCCAUGCCGUAAACGAUGUGUGUUAGACGUUGGAAAUUUAUUUUCAGUGUCGCAGCGAAAGCAAUAAACACACCGCCUGGGGAGUACGACCGCAAGGUUAAAACUCAAAUGAAUUGACGGGGACCCGCACAAGUAGUGGAGCAUGUGGUUUAAUUCGAAGAUACGCGCAGAACCUUACCAACACUUGACAUGUUCGUCGCGACUCUAAGAGAUUAGAGUUUUCGGUUCGGCCGGACGAAACACAGGUGCUGCAUGGCUGUCGUCAGCUCGUGUCGUGAGAUGUUGGGUUAAGUCCCGCAACGAGCGCAACCCUCACUUUUAGUUGCCAUCAUUAAGUUGGGCACUCUGAAAGAACUGCCAGUGAUAAGCUGGAGGAAGGUGGGGAUGACGUCAAGUCCUCAUGGCCCUUACGUGUUGGGCUACACACGUGCUACAAUGGUAUCUACAACAGGAAGCAAGACUGCGAAGUUAAGCAAAUCCCGAAAAGAUACCUCAGUUCGGAUUGCACUCUGCAACUCGAGUGCAUGAAGCUGGAAUUACUAGUAAUCGUAGAUCAGCGUGCUACGGUGAAUGCGUUCCCGGGUCUUGUACACACCGCCCGUCACACCAUGGGAGUUGGUUCUACCUUAAGGCAAGGUUUAAUACCCUUGACCACGGUAUAGUCAGCGACUGGGGUGAAGUCGUAACAAGGUAGCCGUAGGGGAACCUGCGGCUGGAUUACCUCCUUU